ensembl:lncRNA
CAUCGGCCUGUGUCAAUCGAGGUUGAGUUUAGUGAGGGUUGAAAGUUUUCGAUCUAGAUUGCAGAUCACUAUUGUCACUUUAUACAAACUGAAAGUAUGCGUUGUUGCGUGUUUGUUUUUGUGGGCAUUUGACUGAACAGCCCAGACAAAUAUUGCUACCAACAUAGCACUUCGAAACAGACCACCGCAGUGUUAGAUGACUGACAAGAUCUAUGGGGGGGCCCCCUUUGGGCCCCCCCAUACUAACUUAGUCUUCAAAGGAAUCUAGUGCCAUGGGACUCCAGUGUCUUCAAAACAUCUUCGGAAUACAUGUGUAUGAAUGGUCCACCAAAGGGUUGAUCUGGAAGCCACCACGGUCCACGCAGUAAUCUGCUGCGUAGGCCGUAGUGGCUUCCAGAGCCAUCUUUCGGUCUUGGUCAGGAUUUGUUACAGUUGCCCUUCAAUGUAGCAGGCUACGGGCUUCUGAAGAAGCCUGCUUUACGUAGCAUUGGAGUACAAAUAUUGUGCAAAAUGCUCAUGUAAUUGCACUAGCACUGGUAACCUGUAGAUUAGCUUAGUUUAACGUCAUUCGGUGCUGUCUGUCAAAUGUGUGGCUUACUUUACGUCCACAAGGCCCUCUGGUAAACCACGUUGGAACACCCCUGGACAAGGUGAUUAGUCACUGGGUGUGUGCUAAAGUUUUUUAUUCCAUUUUUCACUAGUUGGUUAAGGUUUGGUAGAAUUGUUUGGAUGCUAGCGACGUGAUGGCGUAUGUACAAGAGCCUACCGUGGCCAGGCCACAGUUGCGACGGCCACGGCCAGAUGGCCUAGUGUGAGUGCAACCUUGAUUGCAUUUGUAUACUGUUUACCAUUGGCUGUUUAUGCAAUUUGGCUUAAUUCAUCCGCUGUAAAGCUGCAUUUGACUAUUCCAGGGUCGUUUUGUACAGGCUUUCAAUUGACCAUGUUGACUAGUUUGUGGGAAGUUUUUUUUUUUUUUUUUACCCUUGCUUACAAUCCAACGGUUGCGACCACUUAUGCAACUGGGCUGUGAACCUUGCAAUUCUAGUUGCAUAUUUGUACACGCAAGCUUGUCCAUUUCUAUCGCCAUCACUAACACUAGCUUCAGCAUUUCCUUGUAGGCCAUUAGCUGACUUGUGUAUUGGAGCGAUGAUUUGGGUAUUUUAAGAUGCUUGAAAACCUAAAAUAAAGCAAAAUGCGUGUCUGGUGUGCAAGAGCCAAUUUGUUGGCUUGCAGUAGUCGAGGAGUUGCCGUAGGUCGUAAGCCAUCUGGAGGUUGUGGCAAUGGAGGCUUGUGGUAGAUCUGCCAUCCAAGAAAGGUUAAUUCUUCUGAAGCAUGAUUAAUAGUUUAGUAAAUUGAAUAUAUUCAUAUAGAACUAUAAAAUCCAAGACUGCAGCCAGUAACUUGGAUCGCAAUAUGUGGAAAGUAUUGGUCUUCAUUUGUAACAACAGAAUAAUUAACAUGACUAACUGGGUUUCUUCCAUUUUCUAACUAGGGGGACUUGACUGGUGAGUCUACUGGAUUAAUCAGUAGCGGUACUUUGCCCAACAGAUUUGAUGGCAUGACUACAGGGUGACAAAGACAAUUAUUCCCUGCCUAACAAAAGAGACUUCUUAAACAUAUCUGCUAGAACAGUUCCUAUACUUUUUGUAUAAUUUGGGCAUGCUGCAAAUUUACUUUUUGUAGUUGCUCCAUAUUUAGUUAUUUGACAGCCUCACCUGCUAGAAAAGUCUAUUCAAAUCGGCUAAAUAUAAUGAACUAAAUUAAUAGCCAUGAAAUGUUGUCACUCAUACUAAUGGCAAAUACCCCCUUUCAGUUGGUGGUUCAACACUGAUGUCUCUCUAGGCUUGAGGGAGAGCUCACAAGUAAAUAACACGAAUGUCCUGGAGCAAUUGGGAAUAGUUUUAUUUAGUCUACCUGACCAGGGACAUCUUUGAACUAUAGGUCACCUAACCCAAACUUUUCACUCUUGUUAGGUUGUCCUUUUCUCUUGUUUUAACCCGAAAGGGCUGAAAAUAUCAACAUUUCAGGUAUUCUGUUUGGAUAAUGUGCGAAACUUGUGGCUUCACUAAUAAAAAAAAUUAACGAAUGUAUUUUUCUUAAUGUGGUUAAACUAUUUAAAGAUUUGUAUGCAAAAUAUUUCUGCUCAAUUUGUGGUCAAUGAAACUCAAUUUUUUUAAUUUGAUAAAACACAACUAUGGGUUAAAGGUAUUUGCUUUUGGCAUCUUUUGAUAAUUUUAGAAUCUAGCUCCAUUGCCGUUAGAAAUGGUGUCUCCCAGUACUGCAAAGUGCUUCCACAAGUUUAAAAAAGAAUGGGCAGAAAAGGAACUGCCAACUAAAUCUAUUUAACAUGGGUAGCAAGUUUCCAUGGAAGCUCUUGGCGGCUGGUUCCCAACACAGCUCCACUGUUAGCCUGUGACCUUGCGUUUAACUUUUUUGGACUUUUGGUGACUUUCACAAAAGAGAAAUGAACUGGUUAAUACAAUAAACAAGACAUUUGAAACUUCAGCUACAUUUUUAUCUAUUUGUACUGCCUUUGAUUUCAACCCGUGACAUGUUUGUCAGGUGAUAACUAUGUACCUGUGACCACAUAUCAUGGUACCAUUUUGAACUGUUUGUGGAUAUUGCAUUAAAUCCAUAUGCUUGAAACUUUUCAAUAAUCCAUAUCAACGAAACAAUGGAAUGAAAUAAAUAGUUCAAGCAAUUUGUGGGACUUGGCUGCUUUUACAUUAUUACUCAUUUUGGGGGUUAUUUCAGUCUCUCCAACCUGCAGGUCGUGCGAAGAAUCAUGUGAAUGGGAA